rnacentral:rRNA from 1 species
UUGGAGGGCAAGUCUGGUGCCAGCAGCCGCGGUAAUUCCAGCUCCAAUAGCGUAUAUUAAAGUUGUUGCAGUUAAAAAGCUCGUAGUUGAAUUUCGGGGUUCAUACGUUGGUCGGGCUUUUUGGUCUGUACUAGCGUAAUGGAUUCCUACCUUCUGAAUAACCGGCAUGCCAUUAAUUUGGUGCGCCGGGGAAGCAGGACUGUUACCUUGAAAAAAUUAGAGUGCUUAAAGCAGGCUAUCGCCUGAAUACAUUAGCAUGGAAUAAUGAAAUAGGACGGCAUGGUUCUAUUUUGUUGGUUUCUAGGAUCACCGUAAUGAUUAAUAGGGAUAGUUGGGGGCAUUAGUAUUCAAUUGUCAGAGGUGAAAUUCUUGGAUUUAUUGAAGACUAACUUCUGCGAAAGCAUUUGCCAAGGAUGUUUUCAUUAAUCAAGAACGAAAGUUAGGGGAUCGAAGACGAUCAGAUACCGUCGUAGUCUUAACCAUAAACUAUGCCGACUAGGGAUCGGACGAUGUUAAUUUUUUAAUGACUCGUUCGGCGCCUUACAGGAAAC